rnacentral:rRNA from 1 species
UCAGGUGGCUAUCGCGGCGGGGUCCCACCUCUUCCCAUUCCGAACAGAGAAGUUAAGCCCGCCGGCGCCGAUGGUACUGCGUAUAGUGGGAGAGUAGGUCGCCGCCGUCU